rnacentral:rRNA from 1 species
UAUUGGACAAUGGGGGGAACCCUGAUCCAGCGACGCCGCGUGAGUGAAGAAGUAUUUCGGUAUGUAAAGCUCUAUCAGCAGGGAAGAAAGAAAUGACGGUACCUGACUAAGAAGCCCCGGCUAACUACGUGCCAGCAGCCGCGGUAAUACGUAGGGGGCAAGCGUUAUCCGGAUUCACUGGGUGUAAAGGGAGCGUAGACGGUUAUGCAAGUCUGAAGUGAAAUGCCAGUGCUCAACACUGGAACUGCUUUGGAAACUGUGUAACUGGAGUGCAGGAGAGGUAAGUGGAAUUCCUAGUGUAGCGGUGAAAUGCGUAGAUAUUAGGAGGAACACCAGUGGCGAAGGCGGCUUGCUGGACGGUAACUGACGCUGAGGCUCGAAAGCGUGGGGAGCAAAC